GACAGAGGGUGCAAACGUUGUCCGGAAUUACUGGGCGUAAAGCGUGCGUAGACGGCUAUCUAAGUCGGGUGUGAAAGCCCCGGGCUCAACCUGGGAAUUGCAUUCGAGACUGAAUAGCUAGGGUGCGGUAGAGGGAAGCGGAAUUUCCGGUGUAGCGGUGAAAUGCGUAGAUAUCGGAAGGAACAUCAGUGGCGAAAGCGGCUUCCUGGACCAGCACCGACGUUCAGGCACGAAAGCGUGGGGAGCAAACAGG
rnacentral:rRNA from 1 species